GUUCAUCAAAAGAAAUCUGCAAGGGCCGGGUCAAGGGUCGGGUCUUGGAGCGGUUUUUCCGAUACCUAUGCAGGAUGUCUGAAAACGUAGCUAUAAAAACCCAAACGGUGAUCAGCCAUUGGCACCGCUUGAGUCAUGAGUAAUCCCUCCGAUAGACUUCUCGAAACACCCAUCUUUUGUUAAGGUUUUGGUGUCAUGGCUUCGUUGUCUCGAAAUACCGAGAUUUGCCUCUAUUCUUCCCUCUCUGUUGUGCUUCCCUUUCAAUAGCCGCCGCCCCACUUCACCGGAGAACCGACAAACACCCCCUUCAACAACCGCAAGCAUCCCCGACGACACAACCACCGCAAAACCCAGUUUGCAAGAGGUGAUCCCCUACAGUGUCAAGGUGAAUGCUCCUAAUGGUGUUGAUGUUAAUGUCUCACCAAAGCAAGCUUGUGUUCAGU